rnacentral:rRNA from 1 species
AAUCCAUAGGUUAAUGAGGCGAACCGGGGGAACUGAAACAUCUAAGUACCCCGAGGAAAAGAAAUCAACCGAGAUUCCCCCAGUAGCGGCGAGCGAACGGGGAGGAGCCCAGAGCCUGAAUCAGCAUGUGUGUUAGUGGAAGCGUCUGGAAAGGCGCGCGAUACAGGGUGACAGCCCCGUACACAAAAGCGCAUGUGCUGUGAGCUCGAUGAGUAGGGCGGGACACGUGGUAUCCUGUCUGAAUAUGGGGGGACCAUCCUCCAAGGCUAAAUACUCCUGACUGACCGAUAGUGAACCAGUACCGUGAGGGAAAGGCGAAAAGAACCCCGGCGAGGGGAGUGAAAAAGAACCUGAAACCGUGUACGUACAAGCAGUGGGAGCACAGGUUUACCUGUGUGACUGCGUACCUUUUGUAUAAUGGGUCAGCGACUUAUAUUCUGUAGCAAGGUUAACCGUAUAGGGGAGCCGGAGGGAAACCGAGUCUUAACCGGGCGUUAAGUUGCAGGGUAUAGACCCGAAACCCGGUGAUCUAGCCAUGGGCAGGUUGAAGGUUGGGUAACACUAACUGGAGGACCGAACCGACUAAUGUUGAAAAAUUAGCGGAUGACCUGUGGCUGGGGGUGAAAGGCCAAUCAAACCGGGAGAUAGCUGGUUCUCCCCGAAAGCUAUUUAGGUAGC